rnacentral:rRNA from 1 species
AUUGAACGCUGGCGGCAUGCCUUACACAUGCAAGUCGAACGGUAACAGGUCUUCGGAUGCUGACGAGUGGCGAACGGGUGAGUAAUACAUCGGAACGUGCCCGAUCGUGGGGGAUAACGAAGCGAAAGCUUUGCUAAUACCGCAUAAGAUCUACGGAUGAAAGCAGGGGACCGCAAGGCCUUGCGCGAACGGAGCGGCCGGUGGCAGAUUAGGUAGUUGGGGGGAUAAAGGCUUACCAAGCCGACGAUCUGUAGCUGGUCUGCGAGGAAGACCCGCCACACUGGGGUUGAGACACGGCCGUGACUCCUACGGGAGGCAGCAGUGGGGAAUUUUGGACAAUGGGGGAAAGCCUGAUCCAGCCAUGCCGCGUGCAGGAUGAAGGCCUUCGGGUUGUAAACUGAUUUUGUACGGAACGAAAAGACUCUUUCUAAUAAAGAGGGUCCAUGACGGUACCGUAAGAAUAAGCACCGGCUAACUACGUGCCAGCCGCCGCGGUAAGAC